GUGGCAAGUAGGGAUCAUAUUAGAAUAGACAAAACUAUAUCAUGCCUUCCCACAACGACUGAGUGCAUGAUGCAGGAAACUAGUCUUCUCACCCGUUGUGUCAUUGGUUUUCCAUGUUGUCCCGGGCAUGAAGAGCCUCCUAAUGAUAUCGUCCAAGUCAUAUCUGCGAAGCCCUUGCUCUAAAUUAUCCUUGCCAUCACAGCUAGGCAUCGUCAAAAUUGAAUUAAUGGAUUGACUGUCAUACACCACUGAUCGCCCCUGACUUAAACAACAGCUAGACCGUCAGCAUUGACAUUUUCAUAAAACUUACGGACCACGGAGACGAUAGCCGACUCAGGAGAUUUUGUAAAGUG
rnacentral:lncRNA from 1 species